rnacentral:rRNA from 1 species
AGUUUGAUCCUGGCUCAGGAUGAACGCUAGCGGCAGGCUUAAUACAUGCAAGUCGUGGGGCAGCGCAGUGUAGCAAUACAUGGGCGGCGACCGGCAAACGGGUGCGUAACACGUACGCAACCUUCCCGUUACUGGUGAAUAGCCCAGGGAAACUUGGAUUAAUACACCAUAUUAUAUUGACUAGGCAUCUGGUUGAUAUCAAAGCUUCGGCGGUAACGGAUGGGCGUGCGGUUGAUUAGGUAGUUGGCGGGGUAACGGCCCACCAAGCCUACGAUCAAUAGCUGAUGUGAGAGCAUGAUCAGCCACACGGGCACUGAGACACGGGCCCGACUCCUACGGGAGGCAGCAGUAAGGAAUAUUGGGCAAUGGACGAAAGUCUGACCCAGCCAUGCCGCGUGGAGGAUGAAGGUCCUCUGGAUUGUAAACUUCUUUUUUCUGGGGCGAAAACCGGUUUUUCUAAACCAUUUGACAGUACCAGAAGAAUAAGCACCGGCUAACUACGUGCCAGCAGCCGCGGUAAUACGUAGGGUGCGAGCGUUAAUCGGAAUUACUGGGCGUAAAGCGUGCGCAGGCGGAUUAUUAAGCAAGACGUGAAAGCCCCGGGCUUAACCUGGGAAUGGCGUUUUGAACUGGUAGUCUAGAGUGUGUCAGAGGGGGGUGGAAUUCCACGUGUAGCAGUGAAAUGCGUAGAGAUGUGGAGGAACACCAAUGGCGAAGGCAGCCCCCUGAGAUAACACUGACGCUCAUGUACGAAAGCGUGGGUAGCAAACAGGAUUAGAUACCCUGGUAGUCCACGCCCUAAACGAUGUCAACUGGUUGUUGGGGGAGUGAAAUCCCUUAGUAACGAAGCUAACGCGUGAAGUUGACCGCCUGGGGAGUACGGUCGCAAGAUUAAAACUCAAAGGAAUUGACGGGACCCGCACAAGCGGUGGAGUAUGUGGUUUAAUUCGACGCAACGCGCAGACCUUACCUGGUCUCGACAUCCCGGGAUCCUGUGGAAACACGGAGUGCCUCGCAAGAGGAGCUGGAGACAGUGCUGCAUGCUGUCGUCAGCUCGUGUCGUGAGAAUGUGGGUAGUCCGCACGAGGCGCAUCUAUUCUUAGUGCAUCAUAGUGGCACUCUAAGGACUGCGGGUCCACGAGAUGUGUAUGACUCAGUCUCAUGCUUAUGACAGGCUACCACCGUACAUACAAUGGGCCCGG